GACGAACGCUGGCGGCGUGCUUAACACAUGCAAGUCGAACGGAAAGGCCCUGCUUUUGUGGGGUGCUCGAGUGGCGAACGGGUGAGUAACACGUGAGUAACCUGCCCUUGACUUUGGGAUAACUUCAGGAAACUGGGGCUAAUACCGGAUAGGAGCUCCUGCUGCAUGGUGGGGGUUGGAAAGUUUCGGCGGUUGGGGAUGGACUCGCGGCUUAUCAGCUUGUUGGUGGGGUAGUGGCUUACCAAGGCUUUGACGGGUAGCCGGCCUGAGAGGCUGACCGGCCACAUUGCGACUGAGGGACGGCCCAGACUCCGACGGGAGGCAGCAGUGGGGAAUAUUGCACAAUGGGCGGAAGCCUGAUGCAGCAACGCCGCGUGCGGGAUGACGGCCUUCGGGUUGUAAACCGCUUUCGCCUGUGACGAAGCGUGAGUGACGGUAAUGGGUAAAGAAGCACCGGCUAACUACGUG
rnacentral:rRNA from 1 species